rnacentral:lncRNA from 1 species
AUGGAAGAUCUCCCAAGUCCUCGUACAUUUAACAAACAUUCAGGCUUCUUUGGCCUUCCCAUCGUGGCACAGUGGUUAACGAAUCGGACCAAGAACCAUGAGGUCGGAUUCGUUAACCACGCCUACUCCAAGGACGUCUCCUUCAACUCAUCCAACUCUGGGAACGCCCCUUCCCUCAGGACACACCGCCAGGACACACCAGGACAGGGAGGCCAGAAAUCCCAAACGUGCAGAGGGAGAGACCUGCCUUCUCACCCGCCACCUGACACUCACUAGGCAAACUUGGUCUCCAGGGUCAAGGGCCUAGGAGAGGGUUGCGUCCCACCACACCAGGGCCCUCAAGGGCAACAAAGGAAACUAAGUCAACAGCUCUUGUGCACAGGACCCUCAGGGUGCGACCCACAAAGCAAGCUGGCACCAUGGCCAGAGACAAGAGCUGGAAGGAGCCGCUUCGGGAGGGAAAAGCCAUUCUCCCUCUCAAAGGAAGGAGACACGAAUCCAAACACAGCACAACAAAGACCAGGGACCCAAGUCGUCUUCGGCUUAGCAACUUCAGAGGGGAAAACACCACAGCGGAGUUCCGCUCAGUAGGCCACCCACCCAAGUCCUAGCCCCCUUCCGCCCUCUCCCGGCAGCAGGUGGAACCCAGCUGCUCCAGGAACCCUCUCCCCUGGAUCCCAGCUGCGUGCUCUUCCCUACCUGCAGCCUCCUCAUCCUGGCGGCAGUCGGUGCGCUCCGCCACCGAGUCUGUAGAAACACACCGCGGGGAAGCGAGGCGUGAGAAGGAGUGGCCCUCCCGUUUCCCCGGCUUCCCCGAGGUGACGGCGGGUCACACAGCAUCACCCGGGUUUUUCCUCCAGGUGCCCAGGCCUUCCCUCUGCUCCAGGGACUGAGGCCCGCCAACACAACGUGAGCACAGAUGCCAACAUUCGGGCAUCUCAUACCUGCUCCCCCUCCUUAGGAACAUAGGCGACGAACAUCUUUACACCAAUUUCUUUCUCUUUUGCAAUUGCACACUCACCCGCCCCACCCUCCAAGCAGCAGGCCUAAGUUCCAAGUGUCCCGGGAACCCUCUCCCACUGGCUCCUACCUGAGAGCUGUUCUUACCUCGAUCACUUUCUGCGAGGUUGCUGUCAGCGAGGUCGCUCUCACACACACUCUCCAAGCUCCAAGCUGCAGAAACACAGACAUGAGGAAUCGAGGUGUUAGCGACCGUCCCCCACUCGGACCCCUACUUAGGGUUGACUGCGGCCACACAGCACCGCCCUGGCUUGUCCUCCGUGUGCUCAGAACUUCCCCGUGCGUGCUCUAUGGCCUCAGAAGCAUCAAUAAAACACUGGCCACAGUGGCA